rnacentral:rRNA from 1 species
GCCCAAGAGAUCGGGAUAACACCUGGAAACAGAUGCUAAUACCGGAUAACAACAGAUGAUGCCUAUCAACUGUUUAAAAGAUGGUUCUGCUAUCACUCUUGGAUGGACCUGCGGUGCAUUAGCUAGUUGGUAGGGUAACGGCCUACCAAGGCGAUGAUGCAUAGCCAGUUGAGAGACUGAUCGGCCACAUUGGGACUGAGACACGGCCCAAACUCCUACGGGAGGCAGCAGGU